UAGGCCAGGCACUACUCUGUCCCAACAAUAAGCCCUGUACAUUGGGAAAGGUGCCGAGACAUGAACUUUGGUCUUCUCUGCAAUCCAUCUGGAGCAUUCACUGACAACAUCGACUUUGAAGUUGCACUGACCUGGCCAGCCCUGCCACUUACCAGGUUGGGCUGUGGCUUGCCUUUUCACUUCUUGUGUCCUGUUUAAGAAAUAUCUGCUAUCCCAAGAUUGAGCCUCAUAUUUCAUAUCUGCCCCUGGCCUAAUGGUUGUUUACAGAAUGAGCUCAAUGAAUAUUGUUAAAUAACACUAACAAAGUUGACCUUAGAAUUGGAGUGCCUGGGUUAGAACCCUGCUGGUACCACCUGCUUACUGCAUGCUUCUGAUGUGAGUUCAGGAGAAGACACUGGCAAGGACAGCAAAGAACAGGAGAACACUCUAGCUUCCCUGAUAGCAUUCAAGGUGCUGUCCAAAGCUCUUGAGUUUCUGCUUUCAAGUGACCCUCAGAAAUUCCUCCAUUCACUGCAGAGGUUCUGUUUCUCCUUGCUUUGUUCUGACUUUACGGCAGAACUAAGCUAAUGAGUUAGUUACUAUGGGUUAUCACUUGGAUUUGAAGAACCAUCAUUUCUAGGCAUUGCUGCUCAGAGUGGGUCUGCCCUCAGGGGAAGCUGUCUAACCAGAGCCUAACCCACUAGGGUUUUAUCAGAACCUAACUGACCUGAGGAAAAGAAAUACUCAACUCCAGCAAGCUCCAGCCUUCCAAAUGGAGGAGGAGAAAACCCAACUCCAGCCCACUUCAGCUAUCUUGUCCCACAUAAAGGGGAAGUGGAAGAAACCUGAGAAGCAGGCAUGAAGUUCACAGUCCAGAGGUACAGACACAUCAGAGUUCAGUAUCUGAUGAAUUAGAUGCAAAAACCUCAACAAAGUAUUAGCAAAUUGAAUUCAACAAUGUAUGAAAAUUAUUACAUGCCAUGACUAAUUGGAAUUUAUCUCAGGUAUACAAGCCACGCUGAACAUCUGAAAAUCAAUUCAUGUGAUCCAUCACAUUAGCAGACUCAA
rnacentral:lncRNA from 1 species